GAUGAACGCUGGCGGCGUGCCUAAUACAUGCAAGUCGAGCGAACAGACGAGGAGCUUGCUCCUCUGACGUUAGCGGCGGACGGGUGAGUAACACGUGGAUAACCUACCUAUAAGACUGGGAUAACUUCGGGAAACCGGAGCUAAUACCGGAUAAUAUAUUGAACCGCAUGGUUCAAUAGUGAAAGACGGUUUUGCUGUCACUUAUAGAUGGAUCCGCGCCGCAUUAGCUAGUUGGUAAGGUAACGGCUUACCAAGGCGACGAUGCGUAGCCGACCUGAGAGGGUGAUCGGCCACACUGGAACUGAGACACGGUCCAGACUCCUACGGGAGGCAGCAGUAGGGAAUCUUCCGGAAUGGGCGAAAGCCUGACGGAGCAACGCCGCGUGAGUGAUGAAGGUCUUCGGAUCGUAAAACUCUGUUAUUAGGGAAGAACAAAUGUGUAAGUAACUAUGCACGUCUUGACGGUACCUAAUCAGAAAGCCACGGCUAACUACGUG
rnacentral:rRNA from 1 species